UUUCCAGCAAAACUCAUAGCAUAUCUGCAUUACAAGAAUCCCAGGGAAAAAAAGACGGAGGAAGGAAAAGAGGAGCAAUGAGUCCCAAUUACAGCCUAUGUAUUUAAACUGCAAACAUCUGCAUCGGACAAGUAAUGAGAAACCAAGUUCAUUUGCCUAGUUCAUAUGCCAAACAUUACCAGGUCUCAAGACAUAUAUUAUAUUUACAAGUAGGGAAGCUAUUAUUCAGAUUCUACAACAGGUUACAAUGUGAGUUUCAUAACCCUAUCCAACAUCUUGCUUUGCUGUAGGAGAGAGAGAAAAAAAAAAAAAUUUAAUGCAUCAUGGCAACAAUAUAACCAUCGCUAAAAUGGUUCAGUGGAUAUUAGAAACCGCCAUUGGUCAGUGUCCAGAAUCUAACAGUUGCAGUACCCAUCCAUUCCUUUCAAAGAUAAUGAUUGAUUACUUGAAACCACACUGCAGAAACUAAUGAUAUGAACUUGUAAGAAGCACAAUGAUGUUAGACCUGAACUUCUACACCACAAAAGCCAGACUCAGCAUAAAAUGAUACAAGCCACAGAACAAAAAGGAAGCUUACAAAACAAACAGAAGUAUUGCAUAUCACACUGACAGCAUAUGAGAACACUCCUUUGGAAUAAGACUUUGAGUCAAAUUUCAAAACAUUUGAAUAAUAGAACUUAAGAAUAACAGAUAAGUUUAUGACAGUGUAAUUGAAAGUGUAACCAACAAAUUGAUAUUCUAUAAGGGUUUCAAAAUUCAAUGCAUUAUAAAUUUAAGAGAUUGGCAAUUAAUUACAGACUCACGUCUUUGCAAGAAGAGGCAAGA
rnacentral:misc_RNA from 1 species